UCCCUGGUGAUCAAGUAGCUAAGACUCUGCACUCCCAAGGCAGGGGGCCUGGGUUCAAUACCUGGUCAGGGAA
rnacentral:tRNA from 1 species